GGGUUUUUUUUGUCGUCAUUGUUAUUUUUCAGACAGAGAGAUGAGACUGUACGUUGUGGUAACGCUGUCGGUUUGCUUACUAAUGUCGGGACAAGGUGAUACCCUGAGGUAUAACAACAUGACGAUCCACACCAAAAGCCGAAUGAUAAGAUCCAUACAAGGCGAGCUGGAGCUGAUGAAUGCCCGGGCUUUGCUGGCUUUAUUGAAAGACCGCGUGGGACAUGGAUAUAAUGCAUCUUAUUAUGGAAAAUAGUUCUAAAUUUUCUGUUGAUAAGUGCGGAGAGACAGCCACUACAACUUGGAAUUAAAGUGGGGAAAAUGAAAUUGUAAAUAUCUCUCUGUUUUAAAUGGUCCGUGAUUUUGAACUCUCGGAACGUAGGGUUUUAUUACAAUUGUUGCAACCUCCAAGACACUGUCACUGUGCUUCAUUUAGCGUGCUUAAAAUUUAGCGCAAUCAUCGAUAAUGUGCUGUUUGCGCUAACCGUGAAUGAGCGCUUCUGUGGUUUACAUUGAUUAAUAGUAAAUAUCAUUUUUGAUUUAGACGGUUCACAAUUCUUAACUCUCAGAACAUAGAGUAUUAUAAUUGUUGCAACCUUUAAGACACUGCAAUUGUGCUUAAUCUAGCGUGCUUCAAUUCUAGCGCAAUCAUCGAUACAUGUAAUGUGCUGUUUAGGGUAAUCAUGAAUUAGCGCUUCUGUAAUUUUACUUGAAUUUUCAUUAUAUAGCAGUGGCGGAUCUAGAGGGUGUAGGGGGAUGCAACUCCCUCCUUUGGAUGAAUGGUUUUUUUUAAAAAGACUUAUUUUUGCCAUCUUGGAGUCUUCAACACCCCCAUCCCCACUUUCCUGGGCGGAAAAGGUACAAACUUUGGGUCGCAAUUCACCCACCCCCUUUGAAAUGUUUUUGGAUCCGCCACUGUAUUGCAUAUUGAAUUGAUAAUCUGUACUAAAAUUG